rnacentral:rRNA from 1 species
GACGAACGCUGGCGGCGUGCUUAACACAUGCAAGUCGAACGGAAAGGCCCAGCUUGCUGGGUGCUCGAGUGGCGAACGGGUGAGUAACACGUGGGUGAUCUGCCCCUAACUUCGGGAUAAGCUUGGGAAACUGGGUCUAAUACCGGAUAGGACAAUCGUUUAGUGUCGGUUGUGGAAAGUUUUUUCGGUUAGGGAUGAGCCCGCGGCCUAUCAGCUUGUUGGUGGGGUAAUGGCCUACCAAGGCGUCGACGGGUAGCCGGCCUGAGAGGAUGGACGGCCACAUUGGGACUGAGAUACGGCCCAGACUCCUACGGGAGGCAGCAGUGGGGAAUAUUGCACAAUGGGCGCAAGCCUGAUGCAGCGACGCCGCGUGGGGGAUGACGGCCUUCGGGUUGUAAACCUCUUUCGACAGGGACGAAGCUUUGGUGACGGUACCUGUAUAAGAAGCACCGGCUAACUACGUG